GCUGGCGGCGUGCUUAACACAUGCAAGUCGAACGGAAAGGCCCUGCUUUUGUGGGGUGCUCGAGUGGCGAACGGGUGAGUAACACGUGAGUAACCUGCCCUUGACUUUGGGAUAACUUCAGGAAACUGGGGCUAAUACCGGAUAGGAGCUCCUGCUGCAUGGUGGGGGUUGGAAAGUUUCGGCGGUUGGGGAUGGACUCGCGGCUUAUCAGCUUGUUGGUGGGGUAGUGGCUUACCAAGGCUUUGACGGGUAGCCGGCCUGAGAGGGUGACCGGCCACAUUGGGACUGAGAUACGGCCCAGACUCCUACGGGAGGCAGCAGUGGGGAAUAUUGCACAAUGGGCGGAAGCCUGAUGCAGCAACGCCGCGUGCGGGAUGACGGCCUUCGGGUUGUAAACCGCUUUCGCCUGUGACGAAGCGUGAGUGACGGUAAUGGGUAAAGAAGCACCGGCUAACUACGUGCCAGCAGCCGCGGUGAUACGUAGGGUGCGAGCGUUGUCCGGAUUUAUUGGGCGUAAAGGGCUCGUAGGUGGUUGAUCGCGUCGGAAGUGUAAUCUUGGGGCUUAACCCUGAGCGUGCUUUCGAUACGGGUUGACUUGAGGAAGGUAGGGGAGAAUGGAAUUCCUGGUGGAGCGGUGGAAUGCGCAGAUAUCAGGAGGAACACCAGUGGCGAAGGCGGUUCUCUGGGCCUUUCCUGACGCUGAGGAGCGAAAGCGUGGGGAGCGAACAGGCUUAGAUACCCUGGUAGUCCACGCUGUAAACGGUGGGUACUAGGUGUGGGGUCCAUUCCACGGGUUCCGUGCCGUAGCUAACGCUUUAAGUACCCCGCCUGGGGAGUACGGCCGCAAGGCUAAAACUCAAAGGAAUUGACGGGGCCCCGCACAAGCGGCGGAGCAUGCGGAUUAAUUCGAUGCAACGCGUAGAACCUUACCUGGGUUUGACAUGGAUCGGGAGUGCUCAGAGAUGGGUGUGCCUCUUUUGGGGUCGGUUCACAGGUGGUGCAUGGCUGUCGUCAGCUCGUGUCGUGAGAUGUUGGGUUAAGUCCCGCAACGAGCGCAACCCUUGUUCACUGUUGCCAGCACGUUAUGGUGGGGACUCAGUGGAGACCGCCGGGGUCAACUCGGAGGAAGGUGGGGAUGACGUCAAGUCAUCAUGCCCCUUAUGUCCAGGGCUUCACGCAUGCUACAAUGGCUGGUACAGAGAGUGGCGAGCCUGUGAGGGUGAGCGAAUCUCGGAAAGCCGGUCUCAGUUCGGAUUGGGGUCUGCAACUCGACCUCAUGAAGUCGGAGUCGCUAGUAAUCGCAGAUCAGCAACGCUGCGGUGAAUACGUUCCCGGGGCUUGUACACACCGCCCGUCAAGUCAUGAAAGUUGGUAACACCCGAAGCCGGUGGCCUAACCGUUGUGGGGGAGCCGUCGAAGGUGGGACUGGUGAUUAGGAC
rnacentral:rRNA from 1 species